CUCGUGUCCUCGGCCCUCACCGCAGGCGUCGCCCACGGCCUCUUCCAUUUCUUCCAGGGGCUUGUCGAGCGCAGCGUCUGCGAUCUGAGACUCAAUAGGAAACUUAUGCACAUAACUAUUGGGAUGGUACCCUUGCUCUUUUGGCCCCUUUUCAGUUCGGGAAGGUAUGCUCCUUUCCUUGCUGCACUUCCGUCUGCGAUUAAUAUUUUAAGGACUCUUCUAUUGGGGCUAGGAAUAAGAAAAAAUGAAGCAGUAGUCAAAAUAUUGAGCCGAUCUGGAGACCACAGGGAAUUUCUCAAGGCACCAUUGUAUUAUGUUACUGCUAUAGCUUUGGCCACUUCUGUAUUGUGGAGAACAUCUCCAAUUGCUAUAGCACUUAUCUGCAACUUAUGCGCCGGAGAUGGUGUAGCAGACAUAGUGGGGAGACGUUUAGGGAAAGAAAAGCUUCCAUACAACUCCAACAAGUCAUAUGCUGGAAGCAUAGCCAUGGUUGUGGCUGGUUUCUUGGGCCUUUUUUUGUGCAUGCAUUAUUUUCACACUUUUGGUUUCAUUGAGGAAAGUUGGCACAUGACGUUCGGCUUCCUUGUGGUCUCCAUAGCCGCGGCACUUGUAGAGUCACACCCCAUCAGCACUGAACUGGAUGACAAUUUAACUGUACCUCUCCCGUCAUUCCUGGUUGGUAGCCUCAUUUUAUGA
rnacentral:rRNA from 1 species